GACGAACGCUGGCGGCGUGCCUAAUACAUGCAGGUAGAACGCUGAAGGAGGAGCUUGCUUCUCUGGAUGAGUUGCGAACGGGUGAGUAACGCGUAGGUAACCUGCCUGGUAGCGGGGGAUAACUAUUGGAAACGAUAGCUAAUACCGCAUAAUAGUAGAUGUCGCAUGACAUUUGCUUAAAAGUUGCAAUUCAAUCCCUACCAAUUGACCUUGCGUUGUAUUAGCUAGUUGGUGAGGUAACGGCUCACCAAGGCAACGAUACAUAGCCGACCUGAGAGGGUGAUCGGCCACACUGGGACUGAGACACGGCCCAGACUCCUACGGGAGGCAGCAGUAGGGAAUCUUCGGCAAUGGACGGAAGUCUGACCGAGCAACGCCGCGUGAGUGAAGAAGGUUUUCGGAUCGUAAAGCUCUGUUGUAAGAGAAGAACGAGUGUGAGAGUGGAAAGUUCACACUGUGACGGUAUCUUACCAGAAAGGGACGGCUAACUACGUG
rnacentral:rRNA from 1 species